UAAAUAGUGCACAAAUAGUUUCUCUUGUAAUAUUCUUUUAUUCAUUUUUGUUAUGUUUGCUAUUUGUAGAUAUGUUAUGGAUUGGGACCAAACCAAAGCUGCUGAGUUGAGACAGGUGCAAUUGAACUUUCAAUAUUAGCAGAUUAUUAUGGACGCGAGAUUGCAGCAUAUGAUAUUCAGACAACGCGGUGUGAUUUGUAUGGUCAGGAAGGUAACUAUUCUGAAAGAGUGAUGCUGAUUUAUGAUGGUCUCCACUACGAUGCUUUAGCUGAAACAGAGAUUCACCGACACAACCAACUUCACUCUGCGCUGUGGCGUAUGCCAAAUUGGAGUUAUUGGUCAGAAGGAAGCAGCGGAGCAUGCUCAAGCAACCGGUCAUGUUAACUUUCAAGAAUUUAGAUGAUACACUGUGAAGCAAUAACUUAUUUGUGGAAUCUUUGUUGAGUUGAAUGAGUGUUAUUGUUGUUGAAAGCUUUUUGCAACCUUCCAUUUUACUAUCACAAGUGAUUAUUAUGCAUUUAAACUGAAUAAUCUGCAUGCCUUGGAAUUGUUGUGGCAAGUUGUUGUGUUGUAACUUGUUGUAAUAAUAUAGUUCCUUUCCUUGUUCUCAAUCUCAAUAGAUAAUCGAAAUUUUUUAUUCACUACAAGAUUAUCAUCAUAAUUUUG